ACCCACGGAGGGCACGCCCCACGUGGGUGCAUGCGUGGGUGUGCCCUACGUGUGCACACAUGUGCAAGCGUGCACGCGUGCUUAGCGGGCUGAGGAAGAACCACACAUUCUUCACGGGGGCGCCUGGGUGGCUCAGUCGGUUGAGCGUCCGACUUGAUAUCUGCUCAGGUCAGGAUCUCCCAGUCUGUGAGAUCAAGCCCCACACUGGGCUCUGCCCUGAGUGUGGAGCCUGCUUGGGAUCCUCUCUCUCUCUCUCUCUCUCUCUCUCUGCCCCUCCCCCAGCUCGCUUUCAAAAUAAAUGAAGAAAUAAACUUAAAAAAACAAAAGAAGAAAGAACCACCUCAUGAUUGUGCUUUGGUUGACAUUCACAGCUACACGGGCACAAAAGUCUUACAAACGCGCCGUCACCCCUACCCGGCCCUCAGGGGAGAGCUGGCUGGGCUGUAUGAAGUCACGUGUGUAUAGAAGCUUGUGUGGGUGUGCUUGCGACCCCAAGCUCAAGCCCUGGUCUUUAAGAAUUUCCACAAGUGUGACCCAAACGUGCCUUUGACAGCCUCCUGACAUCCCCCGGGGCAUCCAAUGCGUCUAGAUGCCCAUGCGUGGACCCCCAGCCCCCACUCCUGGCCCCAGAGCCUGGUAAACUGGGAACGCUAUCUUACUUAGGGUGGAACUCGACCUCAAAACCACGAAAAUGCCUCUCAAGAGAGGGUCCUGAAGCUUCUCUGGGGCCCUCUGCCCGACAGUUUCAGUGGGAAGUCCCAGUUUCUAAGCACACAAUUUAAGAAUGGUCAAGUACCUUCUAGAACAUCACACUCCGGAACGCUGCACAACUGCUGAAGGUUACAUGAGCAGAGAACGCAGAAGGGGCAUCGUGUGGGGACCGGGCUGUCCGCUGAGCAGCAGAGGCUACGUGACCAGCUGGCCAGCGGAAGGCGAAGUUGCAGAGGGCUUCUGGACAAGCCCCUUUGCCACCAGCUCCUCGUUCCUGCACUGGAUGCUGUCCUGGGAGGAUGCGAUGCCUGGAGCUCCUGCAGCCAUCUUGCCACUGUGAGGAAAGCCAAGAAAAUCUCACCAACUCCGUGCCCUCCUUCCACACUGUCUGAGACGAUUGAAACGAUUGCUUUGGCCUCUGAGAGGAAUUCUCCUAUUUGCAGCCAACGGCGGCCUCGCCACAACCCUGACCGCGGCCAGCCUGCUGACAGGCAAAGCUAGGAGGCCUGCUCUCUGAACCUGGUCAUUCUGGGCAGAAUCUGGCUCUGAGCCCUGGCCUGACACCUUCACGCCACGGUGGGAGAAAUGACAACUUUGCUCCUGGAGCCUUCCUCACCUCCCCCUUCCCUACCAGCCGCAACCUGCUGUUUGGGUGAUGCUUCCUGGUUGCCAGGGGGACCGGGACACCUGCAGUGGAGGCUGACCUUCCGGUGGGGUGCAAGGUUCAGCCCUGAGCGGGGGAGGGGAAGCAGAAGCCCCGACUUCUC
rnacentral:lncRNA from 1 species